GAUGAACGCUGGCGGCGUGCCUAACACAUGCAAGUCGAGCGAUUUACUUCGGUAAAGAGCGGCGGACGGGUGAGUAACGCGUGGGUAACUUGCCCUGUACACACGGAUAACAUACCGAAAGGUAUGCUAAUACGAGAUAAUAUACUUUUAUCGCAUGGUAGAAGUAUCAAAGCUUUUGCGGUACAGGAUGGACCCGCGUCUGAUUAGCUAGUUGGUAAGGUAACGGCUUACCAAGGCGACGAUCAGUAGCCGACCUGAGAGGGUGAUCGGCCACAUUGGAACUGAGACACGGUCCAAACUCCUACGGGAGGCAGCAGUGGGGAAUAUUGCACAAUGGGCGUAAGCCUGAUGCAGCAACGCCGCGUGAGCGAUGAAGGCCUUCGGGUCGUAAAGCUCUGUCCUCAAGGAAGAUAAUGACGGUACUUGAGGAGGAAGCCCCGGCUAACUACGUGCCAGCAGCCGCAGUAA
rnacentral:rRNA from 1 species